UGUGUCUAGUUCUUUGACCUGAGGUGCAUCGAUAGUUCACCUUGAGUGUGUUAUAGUUUGACUACACCAUAACUCGAUCUCUCAGCCAUUCGAAACCCUGAGGUGUAUGUUGGCUGUAGCAUAUUCAUUGUAGGAACUAGGUCGCACCAAGAUGGGAUCUAUCAACCUCGGUAGAUGAGAGGAGUAGUCCUAUGAUAAUUGAAAGAUCGAGUCCUUAAGCCCAUGGCUAUGGCAGAGUGAAAUAAUGG
rnacentral:lncRNA from 1 species